GAUGAACGCUGGCGGCGUGCUUAACACAUGCAAGUCGAACGGUGAAGCAGGAGCUUGCUCCUGUGGAUCAGUGGCGAACGGGUGAGUAACACGUGAGCAAUCUGCCCUGGACUCUGGGAUAAGCGUUGGAAACGACGUCUAAUACCGGAUACGAGGCGUGGGGGCAUCCCCAACGCCUGGAAAGAACUUCGGUCCAGGAUGAGCUCGCGGCCUAUCAGCUAGUUGGUGAGGUAACGGCUCACCAAGGCGACGACGGGUAGCCGGCCUGAGAGGGUGACCGGCCACACUGGGACUGAGACACGGCCCAGACUCCUACGGGAGGCAGCAGUGGGGAAUAUUGCACAAUGGGCGCAAGCCUGAUGCAGCAACGCCGCGUGAGGGACGACGGCCUUCGGGUUGUAAACCUCCUUUAGCAGGGAAGAAGCGAAAGUGACGGUACCUGCAGAAAAAGCACCGGCUAACUACGUGCCAGCAGCCGCAGUAAUAC
rnacentral:rRNA from 1 species